rnacentral:piRNA from 1 species
UGGGUUUCUCUCUGUCUACAGUAUUGAACUA